UACGUAGGGGGCAAGCGUUGUCCGGAAUCAUUGGGCGUAAAGCGCGUGUAGGCGGUCCGGUAAGUCGGCUGUGAAAGUCCAGGGCUCAACCCUGGGAUGCCGGUCGAUACUGCCGGACUAGAGUUCGGAAGAGGCGAGUGGAACUUCCCGGUGUAGCGGUGAAAGUGCGGCAGAUAUCGGGAGGAACACCAAUGGCGAAGGCAGCUCGCUGGACGUUACGUGACGCUGAGACGCGAAAGCGUGGGAGCAACAGGAUU
rnacentral:rRNA from 1 species